rnacentral:rRNA from 1 species
GGUCAAGUGAAGAAGCGCAUACGGUGGAUGCCUUGGCAGUCAGAGGCGAUGAAAGACGUGGUAGCCUGCGAUAAGCUUUGGGGAGUCGGCAAACAGACUGUGAUCCAGAGAUCUCUGAAUGGGGGAACCCAGCCAGCAUAAGCUGGUUAUCUUGUACUGAAUACAUAGGUGCAAGAGGCGAACCAGGGGAACUGAAACAUCUAAGUACCCUGAGGAAAAGAAAUCAACCGAGAUUCCCUUAGUAGUGGCGAGCGAACGGGGACCAGCCCUUAAGUUGAUUUGAGAUUAGUGGAACGCUCUGGAAAGUGCGGCCAUAGUGGGUGAUAGCCCCGUACACGAAAAUCUCUUGUCAAUGAAAUCGAGUAGGACGGAGCACGAGAAACUUUGUCUGAAUAUGGGGGGACCAUCCUCCAAGGCUAAAUACUACUGACUGACCGAUAGUGAACCAGUACCGUGAGGGAAAGGCGAAAAGAACCCCGGAGAGGGGAGUGAAAUAGAACCUGAAACCGUAUGCGUACAAGCAGUGGGAGCCUACUUUGUUAGGUGACUGCGUACCUUUUGUAUAAUGGGUCAGCGACUUAUAUUCAGUGGCGAGCUUAACCGAAUAGGGGAGGCGUAGCGAAAGCGAGUCUUAAUAGGGCGUUUAGUCGCUGGGUAUAGACCCGAAACCGGGCGAUCUAUCCAUGGGCAGGUUGAAGGUUAGGUAACACUGACUGGAGGACCGAACCGACUACCGUUGAAAAGUUAGCGGAUGACCUGUGGAUCGGAGUGAAAGGCUAAUCAAGCUCGGAGAUAGCUGGUUCUCCUCGAAAGCUAUUUAGGUAGCGCCUCAUGUAUCACUGUAGGGGGUAGAGCACUGUUUCGGCUAGGGGGUCAUCCCGACUUACCAAACCGAUGCAAACUCCGAAUACCUACAAGUGCCGAGCAUGGGAGACACACGGCGGGUGCUAACGUCCGUCGUGAAAAGGGAAACAACCCAGACCGUCAGCUAAGGUCCCAAAGUCAUGGUUAAGUGGGAAACGAUGUGGGAAGGCUUAGACAGCUAGGAGGUUGGCUUAGAAGCAGCCACCCUUUAAAGAAAGCGUAAUAGCUCACUAGUCGAGUCGGCCUGCGCGGAAGAUGUAACGGGGCUCAAACCAUGCACCGAAGCUACGGGUAUCAUCUUAUGAUGAUGCGGUAGAGGAGCGUUCUGUAAGCCUGUGAAGGUGAGUUGAGAAGCUUGCUGGAGGUAUCAGAAGUGCGAAUGCUGACAUGAGUAACGACAAUGCGAGUGAAAAACUCGCACGCCGAAAGACCAAGGUUUCCUGCGCAACGUUAAUCGACGCAGGGUUAGUCGGUCCCUAAGGCGAGGCUGAAAAGCGUAGUCGAUGGAAAACAGGUUAAUAUUCCUGUACUUCCAGUUAUUGCGAUGGAGGGACGGAGAAGGUUAGGCCAGCCUGGCGUUGGUUGUCCAGGUUUAAGGUGGUAGGCUGAAAUCUUAGGCAAAUCCGGGAUUUCAAGGCCGAGAGCUGAUGACGAGUUGCCUUUAGGCGACGAAGUGGUUGAUACCAUGCUUCCAAGAAAAGCUCCUAAGCUUCAGAUAACUGGGAACCGUACCCCAAACCGACACAGGUGGUUAGGUAGAGAAUACCAAGGCGCUUGAGAGAACUCGGGUGAAGGAACUAGGCAAAAUGGCACCGUAACUUCGGGAGAAGGUGCGCCGGCGAGGGUGAAGGACUUGCUCCGUAAGCCCAUGCCGGUCGAAGAUACCAGGCCGCUGCGACUGUUUAUUAAAAACACAGCACUCUGCAAACACGAAAGUGGACGUAUAGGGUGUGACGCCUGCCCGGUGCCGGAAGGUUAAUUGAUGGGGUUAGCGCAAGCGAAGCUCUUGAUCGAAGCCCCGGUAAACGGCGGCCGUAACUAUAACGGUCCUAAGGUAGCGAAAUUCCUUGUCGGGUAAGUUCCGACCUGCACGAAUGGCGUAACGAUGGCGGCGCUGUCUCCACCCGAGACUCAGUGAAAUUGAAAUCGCUGUGAAGAUGCAGUGUAUCCGCGGCUAGACGGAAAGACCCCGUGAACCUUUACUAUAGCUUUGCACUGGACUUUGAAUUUGCUUGUGUAGGAUAGGUGGGAGGCUUUGAAGUGGGGACGCCAGUUCUCAUGGAGCCAUCCUUGAAAUACCACCCUGGCAACUUUGAGGUUCUAACUCAGGUCCGUUAUCCGGAUCGAGGACAGUGUAUGGUGGGUAGUUUGACUGGGGCGGUCUCCUCCCAAAGAGUAACGGAGGAGUACGAAGGUGCUAACAGGCUGAUACCGCCCAAGAGUUCAUAUCGACGGCGGUGUUUGGCACCUCGAUGUCGGCUCAUCACAUCCUGGGGCUGAAGCCGGUCCCAAGGGUAUGGCUGUUCGCCAUUUAAAGUGGUACGCGAGCUGGGUUUAGAACGUCGUGAGACAGUUCGGUCCCUAUCUGCCGUGGACGUUUGAGAUUUGAGAGGGGCUGCUCCUAGUACGAGAGGACCGGAGUGGACGAACCUCUGGUGUUCCGGUUGUCACGCCAGUGGCAUUGCCGGGUAGCUAUGUUCGGAAGAGAUAACCGCUGAAAGCAUCUAAGCGGGAAACUUGCCUCAAGAUGAGAUCUCACUGGGAUCUUGAAUCCCCUAAAGGGCCGUCGAAGACUACGACGUUGAUAGGUUGGGUGUGUAAGCGCUGUGAGGCGUUGAGCUAACCAAUACUAAUUGCCCGUGAGGCUUGACCAU